AUAUCAUGUAUGCAUAUGUCUGGAGAAACCUUUAACCUGUCCAUAACUUGUGUUAAACGUUCAACUAUAUUUCAUAACUUUGAGAUCUAUAGUUUUAUGUUGUUUUUAGGAUUUGCCUUUUGGCCGUCUUCCUACUGAAAUCUUGAAUCUGCUAUCUUGGGACUAUAGUACUGAGCAGGGAGAAGUUCGGCUAAAAACUGUCAUUGAUUUGCUAUCUUGUUCCGGUUGUCAAAGAAGUGCAAUGUGCUGACUGCUGAGUUUGUUGUUCGUGAUGGAUGGGUCUUUGCUGCUAGUACAACCGUUUCUUGAGGAGAAUUCGUGUCCAAAAUGUUCAAGUGGAAGCUUCUUUGGGUAUGUAAACAAUUGUUUUAUAAUCAUUGUUUCAUAAAGGUCGUAACAUACCCUUUUAGACCUUUUAUCCAAAUAUUGUUCCUCGUACUAAGAUUAAGGCCCCGUUUGAUUCUUAUUUUCAUCAAAAUACAUUUUUCUCUAUCUUCCAAGAAAAAUCCACUUCCCUUUCUCGGGGCUAUUGUGCAUUGACAUAAUGUUAUUUAUCGCCAUACUAGUUUAGGUGAUAUUCAA
rnacentral:lncRNA from 1 species